AACAGGAUUAGAUACCCUGGUAGUCCACGCCGUAAACGAUGGGUGCUAGGUGUCGCGGGCUUUGACCCCUGCGGUGCCGUAGCUAACGCAUUAAGCACCCCGCCUGGGGAGUACGGCCGCAAGGCUAAAACUCGAAGGAAUUGACGGGGGCCCGCACAAGCGGUGGAGCAUGUGGUUCAAUUCGACGCAACGCGCAGAACCUUACCUGGGCUAGAAAAUGCAGGAACCUGGUCGAAAGGUCGGGGUGCUCUUCGGAGAACCUGUAGUUAGGUGCUGCAUGGCUGUCGUCAGCUCGUGUCGUGAGAUGUUGGGUUAAGUCCCGCAACGAGCGCAACCCUUGUCGUUAGUUGCCAGCGGUUCGGCCGGGCACUCUAGCGAGACUGCCGAUAUUAAAAUCGGAGGAAGGUGAGGAUGACGUCAAGUCAUCAUGGCCCUUAUGUCCAGGGCUACACACGUGCUACAAUGGUCGGUACAAACGGUUGCGAAGUCGCGAGGCGAAGCUAAUCCGAAAAAACCGACCUCAGUACGGAUAGGAGUCUGCAACUCGACUCCUUGAAGUCGGAAUCGCUAGUAAUCCCUGAUCAGCAGGCAGGGGUGAAUACGUUCCCGGGCCUUGUACACACCGCCCGUCACACCAUGGGAGUCGAUUGCUCCAGAAGUGGGUGCGCCAACCGCAAGGAGGCAGCCCCCCAAGGAGUGGUUGGUAACUGGGGUGAAGUCGUAACAAGGUAACC
rnacentral:rRNA from 1 species